rnacentral:rRNA from 1 species
UACGUAGGGUGCGAGCGUUGUCCGGAAUUAUUGGGCGUAAAGGGCGCGUAGGCGGCUUUAUAAGUCGGGGGUGAAAGCCUGUGGCUCAACCACAGAAUUGCCUUCGAUACUGUAGAGCUUGAGACCGGAAGAGGUAAGUGGAACUGCGAGUGUAGAGGUGAAAUUCGUAGAUAUUCGCAAGAACACCAGUGGCGAAGGCGGCUUACUGGUCCGGUUCUGACGCUGAGGCGCGAAAGCGUGGGGAGCAAACAGG